rnacentral:rRNA from 1 species
AUUACUGGGUGUAAAGGGAGCGCAGGCGGAUUGGCAAGUUGGGAGUGAAAUCUAUGGGCUCAACCCAUAAAUUGCUUUCAAAACUGUCAGUCUUGAGUGGUGUAGAGGUAGGCGGAAUUCCCGGUGUAGCGGUGGAAUGCGUAGAUAUCGGGAGGAACACCAGUGGCGAAGGCGGCCUACUGGGCACUAACUGACGCUGAGGCUCGAAAGCAUGGGUAGCAAACAGGAUUAGAUACCCUGGUAGUCCAUGCCGUAAACGAUGAUUACUAGGUGUGGGAGGAUUGACCCCUUCCGUGCCGCAGUUAACACAAUAAGUAAUCCACCUGGGGAGUACGACCGCAAGGUUGAAACUCAAAGGAAUUGACGGGGGCCCGCACAAGCAGUGGAGUAUGUGGUUUAAUUCGAAGCAACGCGAAGAACCUUACCAGGUCUUGACAUCGGAUGCAUACCUAAGAGAUUAGGGAAGUCCUUCGGGACAUCCAGACAGGUGGUGCAUGGUUGUCGUCAGCUCGUGUCGUGAGAUGUUGGGUUAAGUCCCGCAACGAGCGCAACCCUUAUCGUUAGUUACUACGCAAGAGGACUCUAGCGAGACUGCCGUUGACAAAACGGAGGAAGGUGGGGAUGACGUCAAAUCAUCAUGCCCUUUAUGACCUGGGCUACACACGUACUACAAUGGCUAUUAACAGAGAGAAGCGAUACCGCGAGGUGGAGCAAACCUCACAAAAAUAGUCUCAGUUCGGAUCGCAGGCUGCAACCCGCCUGCGUGAAGCCGGAAUUGCUAGUAAUCGCGGAUCAGCAUGCCGCGGUGAAUACGUUCCCGGGCCUUGUACACACCGCCCGUCACACCAUGAGAGCCGGGGGGACCCGAAGUCGGUAGUCUAACCCGUAGGAGGACGCCGCCGAAAGUAAAACUGGUGAUUGGGGUGAA